UUGUAUUAAUUCAGAUUUGCUUUCAUAAAUAGAAUUAGUUUGUAAAAGAGACUCUCAGGGCCAUUUCGGGCAACUCCCAUGCUUUGGGGACGCCCAAUAAACAAUUAGUACCGUAAUUCACGAGUAUUCUUCAUUCACUGAGCGACCCACCCCCUUAUCAACAUCUAAAUAUUUUUCAGUAAGACGCUGAGCUAGUCCGGAGGUCUGUUUACGUGACAGGUAAAUAACCAGGUGUAGGCUCACACGUAACAUUGUU